UAUUAAUAUACUUAUGGGGAUUGGUUUAUUUCAGUCUGCCAGGGCAGGUAAAACUUUCCAGCCUGCUACUGAUUAUUGACUUGCAAAAUUAUCUAGAGGUAUCACAAAAACUUAUCAUGAUAAGAAUAUUAUUAAAUAUACAGUAUUUUACAAUAUCAAUAAGAACUUUUCACACCCAAUUGUAUAAGGUUCCCCAGUGCAACCCUAAUGCAUCACAAGAAGCACACAUUUCAAAGCAUUACAGAUUUGAGCACUUCUAUACCAUUUUCUAUAGAAGUGCCAAUUCAUAUUUUGUAUAUCCUUUUCAAGUUGUUUAUGUAAUA
rnacentral:lncRNA from 1 species